GACGAACGCUGGCGGCGUGCCUAAUACAUGCAAGUAGAACGCUGAAGGAGGAGCUUGCUUCUCUGGAUGAGUUGCGAACGGGUGAGUAACGCGUAGGUAACCUGCCUGGUAGCGGGGGAUAACUAUUGGAAACGAUAGCUAAUACCGCAUAAUAGUAGAUGUUGCAUGACAUUUGCCUAAAAGGUGCAAUUGCAUCACUACCAGAUGGACCUGCGUUGUAUUAGCUAGUUGGUGGGGUAACGGCUCACCAAGGCGACGAUACAUAGCCGACCUGAGAGGGGGAUCGGCCAAACUGGGACUGAGACACGGCCCAGACUCCUACGGGAGGCAGCAGUAGGGAAUCUUCGGCAAUGGACGGAAGUCUGACCGAGCAACGCCGCGUGAGUGAAGAAGGGUUUCGGAUCGUAAAGCUCUGUUGUAAGAGAAGAACGAGUGUGAGAGUGGAAAGUUCACACUGUGACGGUAUCUUACCAGAAAGGGACGGCUAACUACGUG
rnacentral:rRNA from 1 species